rnacentral:rRNA from 1 species
GACGAACGCUGGCGGCGUGCUUAACACAUGCAAGUCGAGCGGAAAGGCCCUUCGGGGUACUCGAGCGGCGAACGGGUGAGUAACACGUGAGUAACCUGCCCUUGGCUCUGGGAUAGCUCCGGGAAACCGGAAUUAAUACCGGAUAUGACCUCGGCCGACAUCGGCUGUGGUGGAAAGAUUUAUCGGCCGGGGAUGGGCUCGCGGCCUAUCAGCUAGUUGGUGGGGUAACGGCCUACCAAGGCGACGACGGGUAGCCGGCCUGAGAGGGCGACCGGCCACACUGGGACUGAGACACGGCCCAGACUCCUACGGGAGGCAGCAGUGGGGAAUAUUGCGCAAUGGGCGAAAGCCUGACGCAGCGACGCCGCGUGGGGGA